GAAGACUACACCAGGAAAAGAGACGGAGGUAGAGGCCCAAUGGAUGCUUCUAAUGGAGGGCUGGAUUUACAGAGUUUCUCACUACACCAUUCCAGAAUGUUCCCCAAACUGUACUCUGCUGUUACUGUCUGGUUGUA
rnacentral:lncRNA from 1 species